GAAGGGGUAGCGAGAGAGAAGAGAGGAGGGGUAGAGAGAAAGAGGGGGUAGCGAGAGAGAAGAGGGGUAGAGAGAAAGAAGGGGUAGCGAGAGAGAAGAGAGGAGGGGUAGAGAGAAAGAGGGGGUAGCGAGAGAGAAGAGGGGUAGAGAGAAAGAAGGGGUAGCGAGAGAGAAGAGAGGAGGGGUAGAGAGAAACAGGGGGUAGCGAGAGACAAGAGAGAGAGGGGGGUAGAGAGAAAGAGGGGGUAGCGAGAGAGAAGAGAGAGAGAGGAGGGGUAGAGAGAAAGAAGGGAGAGAGGAGGGGUAGAGAGAGAGAAGAGAGAGAGAAGGGGUAGAGAGAAAGAGUGGGUAGCGAGAGAGAAGAGAGAGAGGGGGUGGGGUAGAGAGAGAGAAGAGAGAGAGGAGGGGUAGAGAGAAAGAGGGGGGUAGAGAGAGAGAAGAGAGAGAGGAGGGGUAGAGAGAAAGAGUGGGUAGUGAGAGAGGGGGGUAGAGAGAGAGAAGAGAGAGAGAAGGGGGUGGCGAGAGAGAAGCGCGAAAAGAGAGAGAAAGUGACAGGACAACCAGAGGGGGGCACUGUAGGGCCGUCACUUCUCUCUCCUCUUCUCUGCACAGACAGUUUAACAAAUGUGGGUGGCAAACUCAGAGACAUGUCCUCUCUCUCUCAUUCUCUCUCCCUCCAUCUCCUGGAGAGCCAGGCUGGGACGGUUAUUGUGCAGUAAAGAGGAAUGGGAUGUGGCUGUUCUCUCACAGCAAGGCUUCUUC
ensembl:lncRNA